rnacentral:lncRNA from 1 species
GACAGGCUCUUGCUCUGUUGCCCAGGCUUGAACGCAGUAGCGUAGUCAUGGCUCGCUGCAGCCUCGACCUCCCAGGCUCAAGUGAUUCUCUCACGCUGACCUUCCAAAGUACUGGGAUUACAGGAUCAAUAAUUUUCCUCCCAUCCAGAGAACAUUUUUAAGAAGUUCCUGGAAGGAAUUGUUGGAUUCACUGGAAAUUCUGAAACGGAGGUUCUUCAGGCUGCUAUAACAAAAUAUAGCAGUCUCUUCAGGUGGCUAUAACAAAAUAACAUAAACUGAGUGGCUUACAAACAACAGAAAUUGAUGUCUCACAGUUCUGGAGGCUGUGAAGUCCAAGAUUGAGGUGCUGGCAGAUUUGGUGUCUGGAGUAAACUCAUGGAGACCCACGGCCACAAGUAGACAACUGAAAGAUGACAUUGGGACUGCAUCAGACUUCCCAGGAAGCUCUUUAGUCCAGAUGCAUGUGAACUCCCGAAAGCAGACUGUUGAUUCAAGAUCUGGCAAAUAAAGACUUGAUGAAGUAUGUCUGAAUUAACCAAUGAAAGAAAUAAAAUGUGGUUAUUUGUUUUAAAUAUUGUUGGCAUUGUUUUGAUAUUCUGUUUUCUGAUGGGCAUAUAAAGAGCCA